rnacentral:rRNA from 1 species
UACAGAGGGUGCAAGCGUUAAUCGGAAUUACUGGGCGUAAAGCGCACGUAGGCGGAUGUGUCAGUCAGGGGUGAAAUCCCGGGGCUCAACCUCGGAACUGCCUUUGAUACAGCACGUCUCGAGUCCGGAAGAGGUGGGUGGAAUUCCUAGUGUAGAGGUGAAAUGCGUAGAUAUCUGGAGGAACACCGGUGGCGAAGGCGGCAUCCUGGACCGGUAUUGACGCUGAUGCGCGAAAGCCAGGGGAGCAAACGGGG